UGGGGAAUUUUGGACAAUGGGCGCAAGCCUGAUCCAGCCAUUCCGCGUGCAGGAUGAAGGCCUUCGGGUUGUAAAGUGCUUUUGUACGGAACGAAAAGCCUUUCUCUAAUACAGGGAGG
rnacentral:rRNA from 1 species